rnacentral:lncRNA from 1 species
GACCCAGUCACACAGAAGGCCUGCCUGACAGCCGUCCUCAGGGGCACCCGGCCUAGUCACACAGAAGGCCUGCCGGGCAGGGGUCCUUCAGCCCCAGUCUCUGAAACCUUGUGCACAGAGACUUGAUGGUGCAGGAAGGGUUGGCUCCCUUCUGUGGAGGUCCAGCAUUUGGGGACUGGAGAACUGACUCAGCACGGGAGAACACUUCUUGCUCUUGCAGAGAACCUAGGUUCAGUUCCCAGCACCCAUGUGCUGGCUCGUGAGCAGAGCCGAGUCCUGACUGUCAGGACCCUCGGGAGGGUAAAGAAACACCCUCCAUGUUUGCUUAGGAAGCUGCUAGGUGGGCCAGGAGAAAUCACCCUGCUUCCCCUUCUUGCUGAGGGGGAAGUGGAGGGCAGGGGCAGCCUGAACAGAGCCUCCUAACGUUUCAGCCACUAUACCCCAUGCUUCUGGGUCCUCCCCAGGGUAGGGUAGUCCGGUGAUCAUCCCCCAUUUUUAGGGGGCCUGAAGUACUCUAGAUGUUUGGACAGAGUUGAGAGAACAGGGAGGGGUGUGUGGUGCUGCCUCACACUUAGCCUAAGGCUUGUCUGGGUGGGGCUUUGUCCACUGUUCCAGUGAAAGGUCCCGCAUAGAGCUCUCCAGGUCCUGCUUCCUCUUGCUUGAAAUGAAAGCGUGCAUCCGGCUUGAAUGAUCACUUAUUUAGUGCUUGUGUUAUCGAGGUCAGGGAUAACUUGCAAGUCAGCUUUCUCCUUCUGUGUUUGUUCUGGGAAUCAGGCUCAAGUCAUCAGGCGAGUGCCCUGACUUUCUGAGUCGCCAUCUUGCCAGCCCCCUCCUUCCUUAUAGUUCAGGGGAGAUAAUGUGUGGAAUGUGCUUAUGGCCUUGGUGUUAAGGGCUGCGCAGAUGUUAAGGUUGUUAACACUGACAGUGGCGAGUACACUGAUGGUGGUGAGUGGCGUCUGUGGGUCAAGGGAGGAUGGGAUUGUCUUCCACUGUUCAAGAUGCCGGAGUCUUUGGGGUCUUGUUUUAUACGCAUCUUCCCUCGAGACUCUGACUUUGUUAGAUUGGGCCUUGCUAUGUAGCCCUGUCAGGCCCAAAGCUCACUAUCUAGACCAGGCUGGCCUUGAAAGUUCGUGGCAUCCUGCAUCUGCCUCCCGAGUGUUAGGUUCAUAAGCAUAUGCCACCCUUCUUGGCCGCACACAGGGACUUCUAAGAAGUGAGGUGGGUGGAGCUAACCUGGAAAUACUCCUGUCCACAUACCUGCCCUCAGAACUGAUGGGCGUCCUCAGGGUCACAGGGGAAUAGGUAGUAAUUAGAAAUUAAAAACAAUUUUUUUUAAAAGAUUUAUUUAUUAUUAUAUGUAAGUACACUGUAGCUGUCUUCAGACACACCAGAAGAGGGAGUCAGAUCUUGUUACGGAUGGUUAUGAGCCACCAUGUGGUUGCUGGGAUUUGAACUCUGGACCUUCGGAAGAGCAAUCGGGUGCUCUUACCCACUGAGCCAUCUCACCAGCCCAACAAUUUUUUUUUUAAUAUGAGAAGGUUGUAGUCAAAAAUCCUUGGAAGAGCAGUUCUCUUGUGAACCUUACAGGCGGCAUUCUCCACUGCUUCCUAUUGGCCACAGAGCAGGGUCCCUAAGGAGCUAGAGAGGUCCCCUGCGUCUGUGCGUACCUCACACCUGUGUGUCCUUCCAGGCGGUGUGAGAGGUUUACCCCUGUGAAAUGUUAGUCCAGCUGCCUUGUUCCAGGCUGUUUCAGCAUUUGGAUGUGUGUCCCUGCUUGGUCGUGAAGGAUAGGACAGAGAAAGGGAGAGAGAGGUCUGACUCUACCCAGACUCCAUGAGUGGGCGGCUCUCUGCUUCUAGACAACACCCUUCCCACACUCCAUUGUCGCGCUGGCUGCUGCCCUGCCUGUCCGCCAGCCCAGACUACAGCAAUAACCAUUAUUUAGCCAGCGGUAGUGACCCAGGUACUCCCAGUUGGCCGCAGCCCUGUGCUUCCUGCCGACUAUGCACAGAGAAUGCCAAGGGUGGGGAAAGCCUGGGAAGGGGAUAACCUAAGCCCUCACUAGGACUCUUGGGUCUCCAGAGCUCUGGGUUUGGCUCCUUCCUUUUCUGUUGUUAAGAACAUGAGUGAGUUCGCCCAACUCCCUUACUCAUCCCUUCCGCUGCCGUUCUCCAGGGUUGAGAGGGCAGGCCAGAGUCCUGGUAAACAAGCAAGAAGCAACAUCUCGGGCAGAUGCUGAAGCCUCCAGAGAAUGGGACAGUCACCAUGCUGUUGUCUCUGUGUCUCAUUCCUUCUACCCAAACCCUGGGCCUUCUUUCUUUCCCCUUGGUUGAUCUCCUCCCAACCCCCAGUUUCCUCUGGGGGAACAGGGAGUGGACCUCAUGGAGGUUCUUCAGGCAGGGAGGGUGUGCCCCCUGGGGGUGCAGGAAGGACACCCAGACUCUCUGCCUGCCGCUUCUCUGCCUCAUGUUUUGUCCAUCACUUAAGUGUGCAUUUUACACUAUGUGUUCUGCAUUUGUACAGUGACAGUCCUGUAUCCUUAUUCUAAAGUACUAUGUGCUUUGUGGGGAUUGCGCUAAAGUCACCCAGGGGAGUAUUUGGCCUGUCUUUCGGCAAUCCAGGGACUGGCACAGUCAUUGUAUCAUGUGCUGACCAUAUAAAAUGAGCAGCAGCCUAGGGCCGUAAGUAGGAGCGGCUGUGGUGGUUACUGUUGACUGAAGGGGGAGCGAAAAAGGGUCAGGCCCUGCCACCGGGAAGCAAGCUCUCCCUUCUUUCUCCCCUUUCUCCCUCCUCGUCUUCUGUCUUUCUUUCUUUAGAGAUAGGGUCUCGGGUAGCCAAGCCAUUUUGCACUUUCUGUUUUGAGGUUGGGUCUCACUGUGUAGCCCUAGAUGGCCUAGAACUGGCUAAGUAGACCAGGAUAGCCUUAGUCUCAGAUCUGCCUGUCUCAGCCUCUGAAGUGGUGACGUUUAUAUACCAUGCCUGAUUUUGUGCAGAAUAUGGGGCUUUGUGACCAACCAGUCCUCGCAUGGAUUUCUUAUAGCUGGUAUCUCCUUGUACUGUGCAAUAGCACAUAGCAUUAAGGAGGUGAAUGUCUGAGUUGAAGGGCAACCUGGUCUACAUAGUGAGACGUUCUCACCC